CCUACGGGUGGCAGCAGCAGGGAAUUUUGCGCAAUGGGCGAAAGCCUGACGCAGCAACGCCGCGUGGGGGAUGAAGGCCUUCGGGUUGUAAACCCCUUUUGCCGGGGAAGAUCGUGACGGUACCCGGCGAAUAAGUCACGGCUAACUACGUGCCAGCAGCCGCGGUAAAACGUAGGAUCCGAGCGUUAUCCGAAUUUACUGGGCGUAAAGCGCGUGCAGGCGGUUCGGUAAGCUGGGUGUGAAAUCUCCCGGCUCAACUGGGAGAGGUCGCUCAAUACUGUCGGACUAGAGGAUGGUAGAGGGAGGUGGAAUUCCCGGUGUAGCGGUGAAAUGCGUAGAGAUCGGGAGGAACACCCGUGGCGUAGGCGGCGUCCUGGCCGACACCUGACGCUGAAGCGCGAAAGCGUGGGGAGCGAACGGGAUUAGAUACCCGAUAGU
rnacentral:rRNA from 1 species